rnacentral:rRNA from 1 species
UACGAAGGGGGCUAGCGUUGUUCGGAAUUACUGGGCGUAAAGCGCACGUAGGCGGAUACUUAAGUCAGGGGUGAAAUCCCGGGGCUCAACCCCGGAACUGCCUUUGAUACUGGAGAGCUCGAGUCCGGAAGAGGUGAGUGGAACUGCGAGUGUAGAGGUGAAAUUCGUAGAUAUUCGCAAGAACACCAGUGGCGAAGGCGGCGCACUGGCCCGAUACUGACGCUGAGGCACGAAAGCGUGGGGAGCAAACAGG